rnacentral:rRNA from 1 species
CCUACGGGUGGCUGCAGUGGGGAAUAUUGGACAAUGGGCGAAAGCCUGAUCCAGCCAUGCCGCGUGUGUGAAGAAGGCCUUCGGGUUGUAAAGCACUUUCAGUGGGGAAGAAAGCCUUGGGGCUAAUACCCUCGAGGAAGGACAUCACCCACAGAAGAAGCACCGGCUAACUCCGUGCCAGCAGCCGCGGUAAUACGGAGGGUGCGAGCGUUAAUCGGAAUUACUGGGCGUAAAGCGCGCGUAGGCGGUCUGAUAAGCCGGUUGUGAAAGCCCCGGGCUCAACCUGGGAACGGCAUCCGGAACUGUCAGGCUAGAGUGCAGGAGAGGAAGGUAGAAUUCCCGGUGUAGCGGUGAAAUGCGUAGAGAUCGAGAGGAAUACCAGUGGCGAAGGCGGCCUUCUGGACUGACACUGACGCUGAUGUGCGAAAGCGUGGGUAGCAAACAGGAUUAGAUACCCCGGUAGUC